AUUGCCCUAGUAACGGCGAGUGAAGCGGCAACAGCUCAAAUUUGAAAUCUGGCCCUCGGGUCCGAGUUGUAAUUUGUAGAGGAUGCUUUUGGCGCGGUGCCUUCCGAGUUUCCUGGAACGGGACGCCAUAGAGGGUGAGAGCCCCGUCUGGUUGGACACCAAGCCUCUGUAAAGCUCCUUCGACGAGUCGAGUAGUUUGGGAAUGCUGCUCUAAAUGGGAGGUAUAUGUCUUCUAAAGCUAAAUACCGGCCAGAGACCGAUAGCGCACAAGUAGAGUGAUCGAAAGAUGAAAAGCACUUUGAAAAGAGAGUUAAAUAGCACGUGAAAUUGUUGAAAGGGAAGCGUUUAUGACCAGACUUGGGCUUGGUUGAUCAUCCCGCGUUCUCGCGGGUGCACUCUUCCGGCUCAGGCCAGCAUCAGUUCGCUGCGGGGGAUAAAGGCGUUGGGAAUGUGGCUCCCUCGGGAGUGUUAUAGCCCUUCGUGUAAUACCCUGCGGUGGACUGAGGACCGCGCUUCGGCAAGGAUGCUGGCGUAAUGGUCAUCAACGACCCGUCUUGAAACACGGACCAAGGAGUCGUCUUCGUAUGCGAGUGUUCGGGUGUCAAACCCCUACGCGUAAUGAAAGUGAACGCAGGUGAGAGCUUCGGCGCAUCAUCGACCGAUCCUGAUGUUCUCGGAUGGAUUUGAGUAAGAGCAUACGGGGCCGGACCCGAAAGAAGGUGAACUAUGCCUGUAUAGGGUGAAGCCAGAGGAAACUCUGGUGGAGGCUCGCAGCGGUUCUGACGUGCAAAUCGAUCGUCAAAUAUGGGCAUGGGGGCGAAAGACUAAU
rnacentral:rRNA from 1 species